GACAGUAACGGAGACUCAGUCUUGCGUAUUGCUCAGGUGUGUACUGAGACCUAUGUUUCCAGUUGUCACCAGCGCAGCAUCAACACAGCAGUGAGAGCCACACUGAGCCAGAUACUGGGAGACCUGACGUUACAGCUGUGGCAGCGACAGGAGGGUGCUGACGGAAAUAAGGUGAUUACAAAGCCCU